rnacentral:piRNA from 2 species
UGAACCUUUGGGAGAAAAGCCAAGCAAGUG